rnacentral:lncRNA from 1 species
CGGCGGUCGGCUAGAGAAGGGUGAGCGCGGGAAAACAGCAACAACGGGGAGGGGGAAAAGGGAUAGAAACGGGAAAAAGGGGAGAUGUGACAGUCGGAGAUGAGAAAUAGGAAGCAAUGGGGGGGGGCGGAGAGAAAAAGAGAGUGGGAGCACGGGAGGGGCCAGAGAAAUGGGGAGGAGGAAGGAGGGAGGUGGGGGGAGAGGCGCGGUGAGCAGACUUAGGGACAAGGAAAGGAGAAUGCGGGGCGGACACCGGGUAAGGGGAAGAGUAAGAUAGCCCCCCGCCGACCCCCCCCCCCCCCCCCAGUAUGAGAUGCCCUAGGGGUUCACCCCGAAUGGGGCAGUAAAGCAAAGCCUGGAGGUGUGUUGAAAGACAGCUGUUGUCUGGGCCCCUCUAUCACCAAGUUAGCCACUCCUUUUGUAUUAGUUGGCACGCAAAUUAAUUUGAGUGCAGAGAGGAUGUCUGGCCCUUUAAGAGGUGACUGAUACAGGGAGUUAUCCUUAGCCCCUCUGUGUGGGCCUGUCAGUCUUCUCAAAGGACUGGGCUUACACAACCAGAUCAGCAGAUUUAUCCUCUGAGUUACUAUGAGAUCACCUUCACAUCCUCCAGUUUUGAGAAAGGCAUCUCUCUUCUUACCUCUGCCUUUACAGGAUACCUGGCACUUUGACUCCUGUGACGUGUUCUCUGACAUAAACUCCCUGAAGACAGUUUCUACUGAAUUAUUUGCCACCUUUCUGAUAAAACUUUCAUUUAAACUGUUUUCUCUAGUAGUACCUCCCUCCAUCCCACCUCCACCUAAGAAACCUAUCCUUGAUCUGUAGACUUAUAUAGAGUGGUAAAGCAGGAAUGGGGCUUUUGAGAUAAUCUAGCAGGGACCCCUCAUUUUUAGGUAAAAUGAAUAAAAACCCUUGAGACUCAAAAAGUGAGUGAAAGUGACAGUAUUGAGACCUUAGUAAGUACCAGGUACUGUGCAUAUCUUCUAUAUAUUCUUCAAAAACAUAGGGUGUAGGUACUUUCGUCCUCUUUAUAUAAAUAAAAAAACAGGCUAAGAGUGAUUAACCUGCUAAUGUGUGAUAGAGCUGGGAUUUCAUCCCAAGGAAUCUGACUUUAAAACUCAAUUAACUAAUUGAGUAAAAAGAAAUCCUAGAUAGUGCUAGGACUGUGAUUCCAAUUCAGGCUGAAUGCUUUUUUUUUUUUUCUUUAAUCACACUACAGUUUCCAUUUUUUAAGUCUAAAGCUCUUUAUAUGUUUUGCAAGUUCAGUUAUCUAUACUGUAUAUGAAUAGCACGUAAGUCUACUUCACUAUCUUGAGCUCAUUCCCUUAUUUUGGUUCUAUAAAAAAACACUCCCGUCUUAAGAGAAAUUUAUAUUUUGGGUUCCCUGUUAAGUUAGGGAAUGCUGACUUUACAGCUCUGACUGUGGCAGUAGAUUUUGCUAUGGCUUCUCUGGAAUUGGCAAUUAGGCAGGGGUUGGAAGAACUUGAGAAAUAAAGCUGGAAAUCAUUGGAAUGACAAUUGCUGGCACUUCAGGGCUUACUCUAUUGCCUUCCCCUAAACUCCAGGCCUCCAGGUUUUAGGAGUGGCUUAGGCAAGCUCUAAACCUAUAAAUGAUCAUCUUAGACUCUCUGUACUAACUUCUGCUUACUGAUACCAUGAAACUGGAGUUGGUUAUCUUCCUAUUGCCAUUUUUCCUGCAUGUGCAACCCUUGACCCUGUGAGCAGUGCCAUAAUUUCUGGCAUCUCAUAAAAUUAUGCAGUAAUCUCAAAUCCUUAGCACUUAGAAUUUGUCUUUUUCACACUAGUCAUUGCCUUUUUUAUAAUUUGUCACUUUUUUUCCCCAAAGAUUUUAUUUUCAAUCUCUAUACCCAGCAUGGAGCUCAGACCUACAACUUCGAGAUCAAGUGUCACAUGCGUUACUGACUGAGCCAGCCAUACAUCCCAAUGUAUCAUCUUUUCUGUUUAUAGUUAAUCUCUCCAAGAGCAACCCUCAGUCAUGAAGCAGUCCUCUAAUACCAUGUUUUAAUCCCUAGAAAUUGGCAUGAUAUAUGUAUUUUAUAUACUAAAUACAUAUGUAGUUGUUUUGAAUUAUAUAAUACCUG